GACAGAGGGGGCAAGCGUUGCUCGGAAUUACUGGGCGUAAAGGGCGCGUAGGCGGGAUGGCAAGUCGGUCGUGAAAUCCUUCGGCUCAACCGAAGAACGUCGAUCGAUACUGCUGUUCUUGAGGGUUGCAGAGGAGACUGGAAUUCCCGGUGUAGCGGUGAAAUGUGUAGAGAUCGGGAGGAACACCGGUGGCGAAGGCGGGUCUCUGGGCAAUUCCUGACGCUGAGGCGCGAAAGCGUGGGGAGCGAACGGG
rnacentral:rRNA from 1 species